CUCCGAUCAAGUUCAAUGUUUUAUGACAAUCAGUCAGGAAUUUCGCCAUCUGGCGGCUUAAAUAAGCAUAACAAUAUUUAUUAUUCAAAGCAUGGCGGUAGUAAGAAAGGAAGUUUUGACGUGAUGGCCGAAACAGCUAGGAAAAAAUUAUUAGAAUUAGUUAAAUGUAAUGGGAAUGAUGUAUGUGCCGAUUGUAGACGUAAAGGUAAGGCAAAAGGGUGAUAAUUUAUUUUAUAACCUUGAAGUUUACAUUAAUUAAAUGUUUCAAUUUUUUUUUUUGCUAUCUUUUGUUAUAAAUAAU
rnacentral:lncRNA from 1 species